CCUCACUUAACCUAUAAGAAUUCACGUUUGUAAACAUGGGAGAUGUUGAAGUGUGUAAAAUAAAACAGGAGUUUGUCCUCCCCGAUGCAGAGAGACAUAUAAUAUUGGAAUGUGUCUCUGAUAAAGAUAAGAAUAAGUUACAAGUGGAAGAUGCUAUUGGAGAAGAAACAACGCCUUUCUAAAAGUGAGAAAAAGAAACUUAAGUGUCAAAAUAAGUCCGGGGGUCCUACGAGGCCAAGGAGUUCUAUUCUAAUGUAGAUCUAAAUAAAUGUGAGUACACUCAAUAUUUAAUAACUUUAGGUGUGUCCCUCAGAAAUUCAAAACUUGAUCCAAUAAAUAUAAUCCAAAAUUUGAUUUAUCCAUCUGUCACACUCACCACCUAACCUAAUUGCCUCAAGCCCCACAACUAAUAA